AAAUAACAUGCCAGACAACACCGCAACAUUAAGAAGGUUGCUUUGGUGCAAGCACAGAUGGUUCGUGGCAUCCUUCCCUCAUAAAGCAUUACUCGGCAAACUCUUCAUGCCUGCUUACGGAUGCCGAGCAUGAGGAAAGCACGACUCCAAUCAGUGGCUCUUCAAGAACAAGUUUCGUUGAGCCAGUAUCUCUCUAAUACGGUCUGUGGAGCCACACUGGUUCUUGGUGGACCACUGGCUUCACUCUAAGGAUGCAUCACUGACGUGCACCUUUAGAGAACGAGCACGAAGCCUGGCAAGGCUAAAUCCUAUCAGCAUAGAGGUGCGCUCUUCGAUGCUGUGCUGUCAUCAGAUGGAGCACUUGGUAGUCCAGCCUCUGUAAGCCUGGGCGUGUCGAGAAGGUCUGGUC